ACUGCAGAAAUGAUGCCAUUGGCAGAGAGAGAGACCUAAUUUUAAUAAUUUAAGUGGCAACGCCCCACCUGUGACCCAGUUUCAUAUGUAACUGUCCCGAACACUGCCAUUCAAAACACACAGAGAACAUAGGAAGCAGCCCGGGACAGGAUGAGGAGUUCUCACUGGGAAACCGUUAGGAAACCUUUCUCCAAUACUUCUUGUUUCUUAAUUAAAAAUGUUACUGUCAGCUUCAACCUUUGUCAUCUUCAAUGUAACUAAAAUGAACAGGGUUAGGGUUAUAGAGGAUCCACUGCAGUGGGAGUUGUGACUGUACUCUAUAGGUGUAACCAUAAACAGGGUUAGGGUUAUAGGGGAUCCACUGCAGUGGGAGUUGUGACUGUACUCUAUAGGUGUAACCAUAAACAGGGUUAGGGUUAUAGGGGAUCCACUGCAGUGGGAGUUGUGACUGUACUCUAUAGGUGUAACCAUAAACAGGGUUAGGGUUAUAGGGGAUCCACUGCAGUGGGAGUUGUGACUGUACUCUAUAGGUGUAACCAUAAACAGGGUUAGGGUUAUAGGGGAUCCACUGCAGUGGGAGUUGUGACUGUACUCUAUAGGUGUAACCAUAAACAGGGUUAGGGUUAUAGGGGAUCCACUGCAGUGGGAGUUGUGACUGUACUCUAUAGGUGUAACCAUAAACAGGGUUAGGGUUAUAGGGGAUCCACUGCAGUGGGAGUUGUGACUGUACUCUAUAGGUGUAACCAUAAACAGGGUUAGGGUUAUAGGGGAUCCACUGCAGUGGGAGUUGUGACUGUACUCUAUAGGUGUAACCAUAAACAGGGUUAGGGUUAUAGGGGAUCCACUGCAGUGGGAGUUGUGACUGUACUCUAUAGGUGUAACCAUAAACAGGGUUAGGGUUAUAGGGGAUCCACUGCAGUGGGAGUUGUGACUGUACUCUAUAGGUGUAACCAUAAACAGUCUCCUGUUUGAAAACACCAACAAACUAAAAAACGUUGGCACCUUUGUGUAGAAAUGCUAACCGUCAUCACAGAACAGAUGGAUCAGAAAUAGAGCAGGGUGAAACGAGGCUAAGGAGUUAGUCACUAACCUACAUGUAGCCUUAUGAAAUGAGAGACAGAAACAACCUAGAUCCAAAUAUAAAGGUCCUGAACAACUGACAUGUCCCCCCCUCUAACAGACACAAUACAUUGUCAUCCUUACCUCUUAAAACAACAGUCAAUGUUCAGAUAGUGAUAUAUCCUACAUAAAAGGGCUCUACAGUGCUAGCAGCUCUAUUAAAACAACAGUCAAUGUUCAGAUAGUGAUAUAUCCUAUAUAAAAGGGCUCUACAGUGCUAGCAGCUCUAUUAAAACAACAGUCAAUGUUCAGAUAGUGAUAUAUCCUAUAUAAAAGGGCUCUGCUAGCAGCUCUAUUAAAA